GUAUCAGUGAUGACUAUAAUUGAUGUCAUUGAAAAAUCUGAACAAAAUAAGCUACACAAUCACUUCUGUGAAACUGAGGUCC
rnacentral:snoRNA from 1 species